rnacentral:rRNA from 1 species
UACGUAGGUGGCAAGCGUUGUCCGGAUUUACUGGGCGUAAAGAGCGCGCAGGCGGUCGAUUUAGUCGCGUGUGAAAGCCCUCGGCUCAACUGGGGAGGGUCACGCGAUACUGAUCGACUCGAAGGCAGGAGAGGGUAGUGGAAUUCCCGGUGUAGUGGUGAAAUGCGUAGAUAUCGGGAGGAACACCAGUGGCGAAGGCGACUACCUGGCCUGUUCUUGACGCUGAGGCGCGAAAGCUAGGGAGCAAACGGG